rnacentral:rRNA from 1 species
UACCAGCACCCCCGAGUGGUCGGGACGUUUAUUGGGCCUAAAGCAUCCGUAGCCGGUUCUACAAGUCUUCCGUUAAAUCCACCUGCUUAACAGAUGGGCUGCGGAAGAUACUAUGGAGCUAGGAGGCGGGAGAGGCAAGCGGUACUCGAUGGGUAGGGGUAAAAUCCGUUGAUCCAUUUGAAGACCACCAGUGGCGAAGGCGGCUUGCCAGAACGCGCUCGACGGUGAGGGAUGAAAGCUGGGGGAGCAAACCGG